rnacentral:rRNA from 1 species
UAGGGAAUCUUCGGCAAUGGACGAAAGUCUGACCGAGCAACGCCGCGUGAGUGAAGAAGGUUUUCGGAUCGUAAAACUCUGUUGUUAGAGAAGAACAAGGACGUUAGUAACUGAACGUCCCCUGACGGUAUCUAACCAGAAAGCCACGGCUAACUACGUGCCAGCAGCCGCGGUAAUACGUAGGUGGCAAGCGUUGUCCGGAUUUAUUGGGCGUAAAGCGAGCGCAGGCGGUUUCUUAAGUCUGAUGUGAAAGCCCCCGGCUCAACCGGGGAGGGUCAUUGGAAACUGGGAGACUUGAGUGCAGAAGAGGAGAGUGGAAUUCCAUGUGUAGCGGUGAAAUGCGUAGAUAUAUGGAGGAACACCCGUGGCGAAGGCGGCUCUCUGGUCUGUAACUGACGCUGAGGCUCGAAAGCGUGGGGAGCAAACAGG